AGGAUGAACGCUGGCGGUCUGCUUAACACAUGCAAGUCGAACGGGCGUAGCAAUACGUUAGUGGCGGACGGGUGAGUAACGCGUGAGAAUCUACCUUCAGGACGGAGACAACAGUUGGAAACGACUGCUAACCCCCGAUGUACUGAAAAGGCAAAUAUUUAUAGCCUGAAGAAGAGCUCGCGUCCGAUUAGCUAGUUGGAGAGGUAAAAGCUCACCAAGGCGACGAUCGGUAGCUGGUCUGAGAGGACGAUCAGCCACACUGGGACUGAGACACGGCCCAGACUCCUACGGGAGGCAGCAGUGGGGAAUUUUCCGCAAUGGGCGAAAGCCUGACGGAGCAAGACCGCGUGGGGGAAGAAGGCUCUUGGGUUGUAAACCCCGUUUUCUCUGGAAGAAAGUUGUGAAAGCAGCCUGACGGUACCAGAGGAAUCAGCAUCGGCUAACUCCGUGCCAGCAGCCGC
rnacentral:rRNA from 1 species